rnacentral:rRNA from 1 species
AUCGCCUCCCGAACCAAUCAAGCAUGGGAGGUCCCGCCUGCCCUGUGAUGAAAAUUUAACGGCCGCGGUAUUUUGACCGUGCAAAGGUAGCGCAAUCACUUGUCUUUUAAAUGAAGACCUGUAUGAAUGGCAUAACGAGGGCUUGACUGUCUCCCCCCUCCGGUCAAUGAAAUUGAUCCCCCCGUGCAGAGGCGGGGAUGACUCCAUAAGACGAGAAGACCCUGUGGAGCUUUAGACAAUGAACGGUGCCUGUAAAGAAGUGACUUAAAGCACAAAAACAAAAGGUUCCCCCGUUCAGCAUGUCUUCGGCUGGGGCGGCCACGGGGAACAUAAAACCCCCGCGUGAAAUGGAGACACACCCACUUAAACCUAGAGCAUCCCCUCUAAGUAGCAGAAUUUCUGAUCUAACUUGACCCGGCUGCAUUUGUGCCGAUCAACGGAACCAGUUACCCCAGGGAUAACAGCGCAAUCCUCUCCCAGAGCCCAUAUCGACAAGAGGGUUUACGACCUCGAUGUUGGAUCAGGACAUCCUAAUGGUGUAGCCGCUAUUAAGGGUUCGUUUGUUCAACGAUUAAAGUCCUACGUGAU